GGUUGUAAACGUGUCCUCAAACGCCGCUCUGACUCUUUCCUUCCUGCUCAAAGUUCCUCUUUUCUGAACUUGGUGUUUGUGCCUGACGCUGAUCGUCUCCGUGUGGAGCUCCGUGUGAAGCUACAUUCACCCUGGAGAGAAACUAGUGAGGGAGACCAUCAGGACCAAGCUGUGUUUCCUGCGUCCAGAGUACAGCAGAGAGAGAGAGGAGGAGAUGAAGAGUGCAGCAGAUUGAUGAGACAGUGAAGCAUCUGACAGAGCAGAGCCAGUUUAAAGGAGCCUCACAAGCUCACACAUGACAGCUUCAUCAACAUGGAGCUCUGAGUGUUUAUUAAAGGAUCAUUGGACGCUCUGACACAGCUGACUGCAGCCUUUAGCUGUGAGCACACAGUGUCUCACAUUUACAUUCACUUCCCUGUCAAACUCAAUAACUUUAAACAGCUGCUGUUAUCAGGUGAAGAUAGCAAAGCUUUCAGGGCUGAGCCCCAGUGUUUCAGGAUAAUGGCCCCAGAG